UCGAUUAAUAAAAAAUAGUCGACUAGUCGGAUGUUAGCUAGUCGUAGUCGACUAUUACAACUUGUCGUCCCACCCCUACAAUAUUCUGAGCUGCUUCU